rnacentral:sRNA from 1 species
CUCAGUUGGUAGAACAGUUGGCUUUUAAUCAAUGGGUUGCAGGUUCGAGCCGAGCGAAGCGAGACAACAGCGCGUAAGCGCUGGCCCGAAGGGCGAGUCAUCCUGCACGACCCACCA